GACGAACGCUGGCGGCGUGCUUAACACAUGCAAGUCGAACGGAAAGGCCCUGCUUUUGUGGGGUUCUCGAGUGGCGAACGGGUGAGUAACACGUGAGUAACCUUCCCUUGACUUUGGGAUAACUUCAGGAAACUGGGGCUAAUACCGGAUAGGAUCUCCUGCUGCAUGGUGUUGGUUGGUAAGUUUCGGCGGUUGUGGAUGUACUCGCGGCUUAUCAGCUUGUUUGUGGGGUAGUGGCUUACCAAGGCUUUGACGGGUAGCCGGCCUGAGAGGGUGACCGGCCACAUUGGGACUGAGAUACGGACCAGAAUCCUACGGGAGGCAGCAGUGGGGAAUAUUGCACAAUGGGCGGAAGCCUGAUGAAGCAACGCCGCGUGCGGGAUGACGGCCUUCGGGUUGUAAACCGAUUUCGCCUGUGACGAAGCGUGAGUGACGGUAAUGGGUAAAGAAGCACCGGCUAACUACGUG
rnacentral:rRNA from 1 species